GAUGAACGCUGGCGGCGUGCCUAAUACAUGCAAGUCGAGCGAACGGACGAGAAGCUUGCUUUUCUGAUGUUAGCGGCGGACGGGUGAGUAACACGUGGAUAACCUACCUAUAAGACUGGGAUAACUUCGGGAAACCGGAGCUAAUACCGGAUAAUAUUUUGAACCGCAUGGUUCAAAAGUGAAAGACGGUCUUGCUGUCACUUAUAGAUGGAUCCGCGCUGCAUUAGCUAGUUGGUAAGGUAACGGCUUACCAAGGCAACGACGCAUAGCCGACCUGAGAGGGUGAUCGGCCACACUGGAACUGAGACACGGUCCAGACUCCUACGGGAGGCAGCAGUAGGGAAUCUUCCGCAAUGGGCGAAAGCCUGACGGAGCAACGCCGCGUGAGUGAUGAAGGUCUUCGGAUCGUAAAACUCUGCUAUUAGGGAAGAACAUAUGUGUAAGUAACUGUGCACAUCUUGACGGUACCUAAUCAGAAAGCCACGGCUAACUACGUG
rnacentral:rRNA from 1 species